rfam:Lactobacillus pontis DSM 8475 NODE_161, whole genome shotgun sequence.
CGGAAAUUAGCUCAGCUUGGUAGAGCGCUGCGUUCGGGACGCAGAGGUCGCAAGUUCGAAUCUUGUAUUUCCGA